rnacentral:tRNA from 1 species
GGCAGCAGAAGUAUGCAGUCGAAGCGUGAUCACCGCGCAGACUGUAAAUCUGCCGGCUCAGCCUUCCCAGGUUCGAAUCCUGGCGCCGCCA